CGCGUAGGCGGUAGGUCAAGUCAGUGGUGAAAGCCCUGGGCUCAACCUGGGAACGGCAAUUGAGACUGACCGACUGGAGUGUAACAGAGGACCGUGGAAUUCCCGGUGUAGUGGUGAAAUGCGUAGAGAUCGGGAAGAACACCGAUGGCGAAGGCAGCGGUCUGGGUUAACACUGACGCUGAAGGGCGAAAGCGUGGGGAGCAAACAGGAUUAGAUACCCUGGUAGUCCACGCGGUAAACGAUGAGAACUAGACGCUGGGCGGGUAACUGCUCGGUGUCGGAGCUAACGCGUUAAGUUCUCCGCCUGGGGAGUACGGCCGCAAGGUUGAA
rnacentral:rRNA from 1 species